rnacentral:rRNA from 24 species
AAAACGACUCUCGGCAACGGAUAUCUCGGCUCUCGCAUCGAUGAAGAACGUAGCGAAAUGCGAUACUUGGUGUGAAUUGCAGAAUCCCGUGAACCAUCGAGUCUUUGAACGCAAGUUGCGCCCGAAGCCUUCGGGCCGAGGGCACGCCUGCCUGGGCGUCACGC